rnacentral:misc_RNA from 1 species
UACAGAGGGUGCGGGCGUUAAUCGGAUUUACUGGGCGUAAAGCGUGCGUAGGCGGCUGAUUAAGUCGGAUGUGAAAUCCCUGAGCUUAACUUAGGAAUUGCAUUCGAGACUGGUCAGCUAGAGUAUGGGAGAGGAUGGUAGAAUUCCAGGUGUAGCGGUGAAAUGCGUAGAGAUCUGGAGGAAUACCGAUGGCGAAGGCAGCCAUCUGGCCAAUACUGACGCUGAGGCGCGAAAGCGUGGGGAGCAAACAGG